GGCUGGAUAGCUCAGUUAGUUGGACGUGGCGCUAACCACGCCAAGGUUGUGGGUUCGAUUCCCAUUCGGUCCC
rnacentral:tRNA from 1 species